rnacentral:rRNA from 1 species
GACGAACGCUGGCGGCGUGCCUAAUACAUGCAAGUAGAACGCUGAAGGAGGAGCUUGCUUCUCUGGAUGAGUUGCGAACGGGUGAGUAACGCGUAGGUAACCUGCCUGGUAGCGGGGGAUAACUAUUGGAAACGAUAGCUAAUACCGCAUAAGAGUAGAUGUUGCAUGACAUUUGCUUAAAAGGUGCAAUUGCAUCACUACCAGAUGGACCUGCGUUGUAUUAGCUAGUUGGUGAGGUAACGGCUCACCAAGGCAACGAUACAUAGCCGACCUGAGAGGGUGAUCGGCCACACUGGGACGGAGACACGGCCCAGACUCCUACGGGAGGCAGCAGUAGGGGAACUUCGGCAAUGGACGGAAGGCUGAACGAGCAACGCCGCGUGAGGGAAGAAGGGUUUCGGAUCGUAAAGCUCUGUUGUAAGGGAAGAACGAGUGUGGGAGUGGAAAGUUCACACUGUGACGGUAUCUUAUCAGAAAGGGACGGCUAACUACGUG